rnacentral:snRNA from 1 species
ACACUUAACCUGGCAUGGGAGAUACCGUGAUCACAAAGGUGGUGUUCCCAGGGUGAGGCUUGUCCAUUGCGCUCUGGAUGUGCUGACCCCUGCGAUUUCCCCAAAUGUGGGAGACUCGACUGCAAAGUUUGUGGUAGUGGGGGACUGCGUUCGUUCUUUCCCCUG